AAAGCAGGCAUGUUUGGUGCUAACCUCACCAACUUUCACCCCACCGUGUUCAUCCUACUUGGCAUCCCAGGACUGGAGAACUGCCACUUGGGUUUCCAUCCCCUUCUUCCUCAUGUACAUCACUGGAGUCUUGGGAAAUGGAGACCUCAUCCUUGUUGUCCUCAAUGAACGCACUCUCCAUGAACCCAUGUAUGUCUCCUAUCCAUGCUGGUUGGCACUGACAUCUUGCUGUCCACCACCACAGUGCCAAAGGCCCUACCUAUCUUCUGGUUCCAUGCUGGAGAGAUUACCUUUGAUGCCUGUAUCGCUCAGAUGUUUUUCAUCAUGUUGCCUUGUGGCUGAGUCAGAAAUCCUGCUGGCCAUGGCAUUUGACUGCUAUGUGGCCAUUUGUACUCCCUUGAGUUACACAGCCAUCUUAACUUCUACAGCAAUUGUAAAAAUGACCCUGGCAAUCUGGGGACGAAGCAUUGGGACUAUUUUCUCUAUCAUAUUCCUGUUGAAGAGGCUGCCGUACUGUCGGACGAAUAUCAUCCCCCACUCAUCCUGUGAACACAUUGGGGUGGCCAGAUUGGCCUGUGCUGACAUCACUGUCAACAUCUGGUAUGGCUUCUCAGUGCCAAUGGCAUCAGUUUUGGUAGAUGUUGCACUCAUUGGUAUUUCCUACACUUUGAUCCUGCAAGCUGCAUUUAGACUUCCUUCCAAGGAUGCCCGGCACAAGGCUCUCAACACCUGUGGUUCUCACAUUGGAGUCAUUCUCCUCUUCUUCAUCCCAUCCUUUUUCACUUUCCUGACCCAUCGCUUUGGCAAGAAUAUCCCUCACCAUGUCCACAUUCUUAUGGCAAAUCUCUAUGUGUUAAUUCCCCCCAUGCUUAAUCCCAUCAUCUACGGAGCAAAGACCAAGCAAAUCAGGGACAGUAUGGCUCACAUGUUAUCUAUUGUGGGGAAGUCUUGA